GGUGGGAUAUCUCAGUUUUGAGAGGAUUUAGAGCUUAUUUCGGUGUCAAAUGACCAAUGAAUGCGCCUACUAUGACAUCAGGUGGCUUUUGAAACACAACUUUCCUCAUUUGGCUGGAUUUUGGUGCAAAGAAAAUGGCUGUGGCGGCUGCAGAAUACUGAAGUGAAGACAACGACUAGGCAAUGAAUACCUGUGAAUACUCCUGCCAAAGGUGGACAAGGACUGCAAGAAAAAUUGCUUUUGCACAUGGAGAGGAAUUUACCGAUUGUAAAGGAAUAAACAUCCAACCUGAGAGACUGUCCCAGCUUGUACCUGCAAAGGUAAAUGCUUCAAUGAAGUGAGCCAGAGAGAGAGAGAGACCACAUUCUUCAAACACUCAAUGGUUUAGGUGACCACAGCCUACAGAAUGUGUUCCAUAGAGGACUGGUCAUCGGAAAACAACCAGAAUGCCUAGGAGCUGGUGAAAGCAAGGAAAGGAAAGGAAGCAUUCUCUGGCUUAUGAAUACUAUGUACAAGGGUCUGACCUUACCAGAAUUCAGGUGUGCAAGGAAGCAUUCAUUUACUUGUAUAGAGUAACAAAGAAGCGAGUGGACAACCUACAUGUAUGUUCCAAAGCCACACCCACAGACAUACACUGUAUGUGGGAAGCACAACAACCACACACAAACUAAUGGAUGGCUUGAAAAAAAAACAGGAUGCUAGAGAGCAGAGUUCAUCACUAGAGAGAGAGCAUCACAAGACAACAUGGACGUGGAUUGGAAAGACUACAAAAACUGGCAACAAGCCAGACAGAGAAGAGAAUGCCAAACAUCUGAUACCAGACAGUACGGAUCUUCACAAGACAGAGUGCAUCACAAGACAGCAUAAACCUUGAAGGACUAGACAAUUGGCAACAAGCCAGACACAGAAGAGGAUGCCAAACAACUAUAUGUCAGACAGCAGGGAUAAUGAAGAGACAGCCUGGACCUGGAGGGACUAGAACGUGGGCAACAGGUUUAAGACACAGAAGAGGAUGCUUAAAGAUUGGUCUUCAAGAUAAGAUGACAACAAAGUUUAUGGUGUAAUAAAUAGUAAGACGGUAAUAAUUGAAAGAAAGUAGAAUAUUUAACUAAUAGGACACCAAUGUAAUACAGUACAUAUGGCAUGAUAAGGGCUGUUUUAGAGACUUCCAUUUUGGUAAAUUUUGUGAUUUUCUUUCAAAUUUUAAUUGGCAGAAUACUGAUAUGAAAUUAAUGCAACAAAGCAGAUUUUCUUCUGAAUUACAUGCAAAAUAUGUAAAAUUGAUCUAAUCUGCAUUGGAGGACAUCUAUUCUUUUACCUUUGGCUAGAAAUUAUAGGGGCUUUUUGAAUUACAAACUAAGCUAAAACCUUAAAUCCACAAAAUGAACUCUUCCGAAAAUAUAUCAUGCCACACAUACAUAUACAUGAAGAGAUCAGUAUGUUCUCUAAAGAUGGUUGCAAGAAAUAGUAUUUUUGGCUAUU